ACUCAUGAUGAACUCAUCAGGAAAGGAGAAAUUUUGAUUGCUGAAAGAGAAGGAAAUUUGAAGAGCUUGCAAAAAGUUGAGAAUGUGACAACAAGCCAUUUAAUCACAUAUUCAUUGGUAAUUGCAAAAUACACUGCUGGGAUCUUAUAUCUGCCUUGUCUGGGAUCAGAGCCUCUUGAGUUGAUGCACUGUUGAUAUUUACUGUAAGAGUUCACUGCUUCACCAACUGGCAGAAUUCAGGGGACUUAUUGUUUCAACAGUCACUUAAGUCACCUUCACAGUGGGUUUAAGAGCUAGGCCACUGUAAGAAGCUGGACUCCGGAGUAUUUAAACUCAUCCACAGGCAUUGUUCAAGAGCUGGUUCUGACCAUUCCAGCUCCCACCAACACCCAGCGCUAUUUGGCAGGAACACAGGGCCGGGCCGCCCGGACACGCCGCGGCUCCAGGGAAAGAGGCG